GCCCUCGUAGCUCAGGGGAUAGAGCACCGCUCUCCUAAAGCGGGUGCCGCAGGUUCGAAUCCUGCCGGGGGCACCA
rnacentral:tRNA from 3 species